UGGUAACAAGGUACAAAGAACUUUAUACUCAUAUAGCCAAAUGUAACUUGCUUUUGUUGUUGUUCUUAAGACAGUCUCUAUGAAGCCCAGGAUGACUUUCAACUUUGGUCUUCCUGUAGAAAGUACAAAAUGGGCACUAACUUUACCUAGAGCAACUCAUCUUUUCCCCUGAAUAAUCCAUACAGAUUUUUUUUCUGAAAGUGGCUUGAGAAGAUGGAUGAAAUAGUUACAAUACACAUCAGAGAGUGAAGAGUUCUCAGGGCUGGUGAGGUGACUCCAUGGAUAAGCACUUGCUGGCCAAGCCUGACAAUGGUAAUCUCUUGAACGCAUGUAAUAAUGGGAGGAAACUCUACAAAGCUGUCCUCUCAGCUUCACACUCAGAUCACAGUAUGCACGUGUGCUACUAUACAUCACACAAACAACACAGAACAAUGAUGAGGAACAAUACUGAGACCAAAGCUGAGGAGGAGCCUGGGAAUGCAGCUACUGAAUGGGAGAAGUGACGAGAAGGCUUGCAUGGUUAAGAAACAUUCAUAAAUCAAAAAGAGUGCUGGUUUCUUUCAAAAUGCUCUUCAGAACAAAACAGAGAGACAGCUAGGCACCCCUACACUCACUGUGAGGAGAAGGACUUCAGAGAUCCUGAAAAACAGCUGGUGCCCCUUGACAAAUUCUCUGUAAGCCCGAUACCAAGAUCUGGACCAUCAUAGAUCCAAGGAGGAGAUGGACCCUCUAAAGAUAAGGACUACGGGCUUCCAAGGGUUAUCUGGUUUGGACUGAAAGGGAGACUAACAAUUGUUUUAAUCAAAGGAGUUUGUAAUCUAAACAUGGUGGGACACUUGGAGACUGAGGCAGAAAGGCUGAGAAUUUAAGGCCAGCUUGUCUAUGAAGUAAACUCUAGACUGGCCUGAGCUACACAGCAAGAACUUAUCCCAAAAAAAUAAAAACAAAAUAAAACAAAAACCUCAGAAAAAUAAAAUUAGUUCAUCACCAUAAAACAUAUGAAUGUUUUUACUUUACCUCAGACUCUUUCCCAUAAACCCUUUAGUAAUAAAUGACAAAAUAUAUGAGUCAA